GCCGGGGUAGCUCAGAGGUAGAGCGCAUCCUUGGUAAGGAUGAGGUCACGAGUUCAAAUCUCGUUCUCGGCU
rnacentral:tRNA from 1 species